AUUGAACGCUGGCGGCAGGCUUAACACAUGCAAGUCGAGCGGAGAGAGGUAGCUUGCUACUGAUCUUAGCGGCGGACGGGUGAGUAAUGCUUAGGAAUCUGCCUAUUAGUGGGGGACAACAUUUCGAAAGGAAUGCUAAUACCGCAUACGUCCUACGGGAGAAAGCAGGGGAUCUUCGGACCUUGCGCUAAUAGAUGAGCCUAAGUCGGACUAGCUAGUUGGUGGGGUAAAGGCCUACCAAGGCGAAGAUCUGUAGCGGGUCUGAGAGGAUGAUCCGCCACACGUGGACCGAGACACGGCCCAGACUCCUACGGGAGGCAGCAGUGGGGAAUAUUGGACAAUGGACGGAAGCCUGAUCCAGCCAUGCCGCGUGUGUGAAGAAGGCCUUAUGGUUGUAAAGCACUGUAAGCGAGGAGGAGGCUACUUUAGUUAAUACCUAGAGAUAGUGGACGUUACUCGCAGAAUAAGCACCGGCUAACUCUGUGCCAGCCGCCGCCGUAACAC
rnacentral:rRNA from 1 species